rnacentral:rRNA from 1 species
UACGUAGGGGGCUAGCGUUGUCCGGAUUUAUUGGGCGUAAAGAGCGUGUAGGCGGCCAGGUAGGUCUGCUGUGAAAUCCCUCGGCUUAACUGAGGACGUGCGGAAGAAACUGCAAGGCUCGAGUCCGGGAGAGGGGGGUGGAAUUCCCAGUGUAGCGGUGAAAUGCGUAGAUAUUCGCAAGAACACCAGUGGCGAAGGCGGCUCACUGGCCCGGUACUGACGCUGAGGUGCGAAAGCGUGGGGAGCAAACAGG